rnacentral:rRNA from 1 species
AUUGAACGCUGGCGGCAUGCCUUACACAUGCAAGUCGAACGAGUGGCGAACGGGUGAGUAAUAUCUUGGAACAUCCCCAUUACUGGGGGAUAACCAUUCGCAAGAUUGGCUAAUACCGCAUAUUAUUCGAGCGGCCCAUAGCUGCUUAGCUAGGUGGUGGGGUAACGGGCUACCAAGGCGACGAUCAGUAGCGGGUCUGAGAGGAUGAUGGGCAACACUGGAACUGGGAAACGGACCAGACUACGACGGGAGGCAGCGGUGGGAAAUUUUGGACAAUGGGCGAAAGCCGGAGGAGGCCAUGCGGCGUGGCUGAAGAAGGCCUUCGAGUUGUAAAGAACUUUCGUUAGGGAGGCGGUAACUAAAGAGUAAGCGACGGCUAACUACGUGCCAGCAGCCGCGGUAAUAC